GAUGAACGAUGGCGGCGUGCCUAAUACAUGCAAGUCGAGCGAAGCGGGGACGGUUGAGUAACACGUGGAUAACCUCCUAUAAGACUGGGAUAACUUCGGGAAACCGUAGCUAAACCGGAUCCUUAUAGAUGGAUCCGCGCUGCAUUAGCUAGUUGGUAAGGUAACGGCUUACCAAGGCAACGAUGCAUAGCCGACCUGAGAGGUGGAACGGCGAGACUGGAACAGGGACACGGUCCAGACGCCUACGGGAGGCAGCAGUAGGGAAUCUUCCGCAAUGGGCGAAAUCCAGACAGAGCAACGCCGCGUGAGUGAUGAAGGUCUUAGGAUCGUAAAACUCUGUUAUUAGUGAAGCGGUACCUAAUCAGAAAGCCACAACUAACUACAUGCCAGCAGCCGCGGUAAUUC
rnacentral:rRNA from 1 species